rnacentral:rRNA from 1 species
GCAGUCGAACGGUGAAGGUGGAGCUUGCUCUGCUGGAUCAGUGGCGAACGGGUGAGUAACACGUGAGCAAUCUGCCCCGAACUCUGGGAUAACCACGGGAAACCGUGGCUAAUACUGGAUAUGUACCGCGAUCGCAUGGUCUGUGGUUGGAAAGAUUUUUCGGUUCGGGAUGAGCUCGCGGCCUAUCAGCUUGUUGGUGAGGUAAUGGCUCACCAAGGCGACGACGGGUAGCCGGCCUGAGAGGGUGACCGGCCACACUGGGACUGAGACACGGCCCAGACUCCUACGGGAGGCAGCAGUGGGGAAUAUUGCACAAUGGGCGCAAGCCUGAUGCAGCAACGCCGCGUGAGGGAUGACGGCCUUCGGGUUGUAAACCUCUUUUAGUAGGGAAGAAGCGACACUGACGGUACCUGCAGAAAAAGCACCGGCUACCUACGUGCCAGCAGCCGCGGUAAUACGUAGGGUGCAAGCAUUGUCCGGAAUUAUUGGGCGUAAAGAGCUCGUAGGCGGUUUGUCGCGUCUGCUGUGAAAUCCCGAGGCUCAACCUCGGGCCUGCAGUGGGUACGGGCACACUAGAGUGCGGUAGGGGAGAAUGGAACUCCUGGUGUAGCGGUGGAAUGCGCAGAUAUCAGGAAGAACACCGAUGGCGAAGGCAGUUCUCUGGGCCGUAACUGACG